GUCCCAAGUGCCACUAGUUGGGGCUUUCAGGGUAAAAUUUGCAGUAUAGUUCAUCCCCUAUCUGAGUUACCAUCCAAUUUGUUACUUGUCUUAAAUUAUCUAUAUAAAUGUAUCCAUGUUUGGUCAGUCAUAUGAACUUUAUUCUUCGACUUUGCUAUAGUUUCUUUACAGCUAGUUCCUUGUUUUAAAGGAAGUUAAUGUGACACUAGCCUUGCAAUCUGUAUGAAGGAAUCUUCUUCCUUUUUUUAUAAUGACAUUUUAUAUUUAAUUGAUGGCCCAUGCUUCUUGUUUGGCCAAAGCAAACAUGUGCUUCAUGCUUGACCAAAUAUAGAUUCU
rnacentral:misc_RNA from 1 species